UCCAAAGGCUGCUGCAUACCCUUGGUGUU
rnacentral:piRNA from 1 species